GAAAGAAUGAGCAGCGAACAGUCUAUAAAACGACUUGAAACGGUAUGCUUGGUCCAGACUACAACAGUUUGUUGGCUUGCUUCGGACAGUCUUUCGCUGUGCUAUACUAUUUGUGAAGAGGUAAAGACAUAUGAUAAGCAAAGAGGGAUAAAAUGAUUCCACAUACUGGGUAUUAUUUGAACUGAUAUGGAGGGACUACUUCAGAUUUCUUUUCAUUAAAAUAUGGGAACUCCAUUUUCUUGCAAGUUCAGUGACGUCUUCAGAGUGUUGGCGCUCUGCCUUGUCACCAGCAGCAGCACAAGCAACGAUGUGGACGGCUUUGUUGGGACAAAGGAAUAUGGUCCUGUGAAGGACUCAACUCCGCCGGCCUCAUCAUCCUUUUUCGUCACCGUGGUCGUCAAUGUCAAA